GCUGGCAGCUAACUCUCUGCAACUCUCACAUGGUCAUCCACUGAAGCUAAGCAGGGCUGGGCCUGGUCAGUACCUGGAAACAAUACCUGGAAAAGAGACCACAUAGGAAAGCUAGGUUGCUGCCAGAA
rnacentral:rRNA from 1 species